UGGGUAACCUGCCUCAAAGAGGGGAAUAGCCUCCCGAAAGGGAGAUUAAUACCGCAUAAUAUGUUUAAGUCGCAUGACUUUAACAUCAAAGGAUUUUCUUUUAGAAAUUCCACUUUGAGAUGGACCCGCGGCGCAUUAGCUAGUUGGUGAGGUAACGCUCACCAAGGCAACGAUGCGUAGCCGACCUGAGAGGUGAUCGGCCACAUUGGAACUGAGACACGGUCCAGCUCCGUAGGGACGG
rnacentral:rRNA from 1 species